GUGGCAAUGCUAAAUAUUUUGGAGUUGAAACGUGUAUUUUAAUAAGUACUCAAAAUGAAUGGCUUCGUUGAGAACGAAGAAGAACCCUGCAAAUAUAAAUAGGUUAAUAGUUCUAUGAGUGUAUUUCUUAUCUUAUAUAUGAAUGAAAUUUUCUUAAUCAAGAAUGAUGUUCUUUACAUUAUAGAGAAUAAAGAUUUUAUUAUUAUUAUU
rnacentral:lncRNA from 1 species